rnacentral:rRNA from 1 species
GACGAACGCUGGCGGCGUGCUUAACACAUGCAAGUCGAACGGAAAGGCCCUGCUUUUGUGGGGUGCUCGAGUGGCGAACGGGUGAGUAACACGUGAGUAACCUGCCCUUGACUUUGGGAUAACUUCAGGAAACUGGGGCUAAUACCGGAUAGGAGCUCCUGCUGCAUGGUGGGGGUUGGAAAGUUUCGGCGGUUGGGGAUGGACUCGCGGCUUAUCAGCUUGUUGGUGGGGUAGUGGCUUACCAAGGCUUUGACGGGUAGCCGGCCUGAGAGGGUGACCGGCCACAUUGGGACUGAGAUACGGCCCAGACUCCUACGGGAGGCAGCAGGGGGGAAUAUUGCACAAUGGGCGGAAGCCAGAUGCAGCAACGCCGCGUGCGGGAUGACGGCCUUCGGGUUGUAAACCGCUUUCGCCUGUGACGAAGCGUGAGUGACGGUAAUGGGUAAAGAAGCACCGGCUAACUACGUG